CCUGAGUCUGUUUCAUCUGUGGGUCUUCAACUGCAAAUAGAGAAGUGGAGGAUCAAAUGAACAACUAAUUCACAGCCUGGCCUCCCUUCUCUGCAGCUGGGUCUUGGAGACAGAUGAAGAGCAAAUGGGGCUACUGUCUCCUACAGAAUCUCCAAGAUUGCUUCUGCCUCUUUUUCUCACUUUGACAUAAGAUCAUUUGGUUCUAUUGGACAUGAGAUUGUCUAUUGAAACCCCCAUUCAUUAACAUUUCUCUGUGUCCCUGAGCCCCAUUCUCUGUCUGAUGUUUCCAGGCUCCCCAUCUUUAUGUACUCUACUUCAUUUCUCUUGGAAAAUGCAAGGCUACAGUAUGAGGAGAACCUGCAUAGAAAGAAGCCUCCUCUAGACUGGAGCAAGCAUCCUGCUUCUCACAGAGAGAGCUCUCCAUGCAGCACAUUCUCCAUUCAUUUCAGCUAUGGAUGGUGCCCUCUUUCACUGGUUGGAAGCCAGAAUGGCGGCUGUCUAAGGCAGUGAACCCCAGUAGGAGUCAGGGUUCUUCUUCACAUGCCUGUUGAUAUGGAGGCCAAAAGGAUGUGACUUUGUGACUGUAAAGUAGGAAAGUGGAAGUAGGGAGAUGAACAAAUUGCUGUAAAAUUUCAAAGCAUCAUUUAGUAAUGACUGCCUUUUUAAAGAGAAGAACAAAAGCAGCUUAUACGGCUGGUGCUGCAUACUAAUCUCAAAUUAUUCAUAAAGUUCAAGUUCAAACCUCA